AAAGGAAUGAACUGGAUCAGUUGAGUGUCAUCACUCUACAACAUAUGUUUUAAGAAUAAGCAAACAUUUAGAGAAUUGUGUAUAUUCCCAGCAAAAGUGGAUAGACUCAGCUUUUGUCAAAGUAAUGCUGCAGCGAUGAGAUGGAGAAUUCUACUUCCAGUUAUUAAUUACCCCACAUAUUCCACAGAACUGAUAAAGUUUUCACGGAAUGCAUAAAGCAAAUGCAAAAUUAAACUGCAAAUCCAACAAAUCUUGCCCAUGAAAUGAAGGAUAUCAGAAACUCUCCAGGAGAGAAGGAGCACAAAGCCAUUGACACGUGAGGAUCCAGUAGAGAAACAAUUAAAAAUGACAAGAAUGUUUAUAAAAUAAAUGCUUUAGAAGAAGAAAAUUUAAAUAUUAA
rnacentral:lncRNA from 12 species